rnacentral:rRNA from 1 species
CAAUAGCGUAUAUUAAGGUUGUUGCAGUUAAAAAGCUCGUAGUUGGAUUUCUGGUUGAAGCGACCGGUCGGGCGUUGAUUCGUCUGCACUGGAGUCGGUUUUGGCCAUCCUCUAGGAAAGUGCGUCUGGUAUUAAGUUAUCGGGCGUAUGAUCCUGGUCUUUUACUGUGAAAAAAUUAGAGUGUUUAAAGCAGGCCUUCGCCUUGAAUACAUUAGCAUGGAAUAAUAAGAUAGGACUUUGGUCUAUUUUGUUGGUUUGCAGACCGAAGUAAUGAUUAAUAGGGAUAGUUGGGGGUAUUUAUAUUCCGAUGUCAGAGGUGAAAUUCUUAGAUUUUCGGAAGAUAAACUUAUGCGAAAGCAUUUACCAAGGAUGUUUNCAUUA